UACGAAGGGGGCUAGCGUUGUUCGGAUUUACUGGGCGUAAAGCGCACGUAGGCGGAUCUUUAAGUCAGGGGUGAAAUGCCGGGGCUCAACCCCGGAACUGCCUUUGAUACUGGGGAUCUGGAGUCCGGGAGAGGUGAGCGGAACUGCGAGUGUAGAGGUGAAAUUCGUAGAUAUUCGCAAGAACACCAGUGGCGAAGGCGGCUCACUGGCCCGGUACUGACGCUGAGGUGCGAAAGCGUGGGGAGCAAACAGG
rnacentral:rRNA from 1 species